UGCGGAGGGGGCUAGCGUUGCUCGGAAUCACUGGGCGUAAAGGGUGCGUAGGCGGGUCUUUAAGUCAGGGGUGAAAUCCUGGAGCUCAACUCCAGAACUGCCUUUGAUACUGAAGAUCUUGAGUUCGGGAGAGGUGAGUGGAACUGCGAGUGUAGAGGUGAAAUUCGUAGAUAUUCGCAAGAACACCAGUGGCGAAGGCGGCUCACUGGCCCGAUACUGACGCUGAGGCACGAAAGCGUGGGGAGCAAACAGG
rnacentral:rRNA from 1 species